UACGGAGGGAGCAAGCGUUACUCGGAAUUAUUGGGCGUAAAGGGCGCGUAGGCGAUUUGAAAAGUCUUGUGUGAAAGCCCCGAGCUUAACUCGGGAAGUGCACAAGAAACUGUUGAAUUUGAGUUCCGGAAAGGAAGGCAGAAUUCCCGGUGUAGCGGUGAAAUGCGUAGAUAUGCGGAGGAACACCGAUGGCGAAGGCAAUCCCCUGGGCCUGCACUGACGCUCAUGCACGAAAGCGUGGGGAGCAAACAGG
rnacentral:rRNA from 1 species